rnacentral:lncRNA from 1 species
GGAACUCACUCUGUAGACCAGACUGGCGUUGAACUCACAGAGAUCCACCUGCCUCUGUCUCCCAAGUGCUGGGAUUAAAGGAGUGUGUCAACAUGCCCUGCUAAAAAAUAGUUUUAAAAAAUUAAAAAGAGGGGCUGGAGAGAUGGCUCAGAGGUUAAGAAUACUGACUGUUCUUCCAGAGGUCCUGAGUUCAAUUCCCAGCAACCACAUGGUGGCUCACAACCACCCUGAAUGAGAUCUGGUGCAGUCUUCUGGUGUGCAGAUAUACAUGGAAGCAGAAUGUUGUAUACAUAAUAAAUAAAUAAAAUCUUUAAAAAAAUUAAAAAGAAAAAAAUUAAAAACAAAGAAAAGCCAGUGCUCUGCCUCACAGUUGUCACCAGAUGCGUUCCCUCUGUGACUGCCCCAGUCCCAUGCUUGCCUGCCUUCUGCCACAAUCCCCACUGUGCAGGUCAUGGUCUCUAACUCUCUGGAACAAUGAGCCCCAAAUGAAAUGUUUUCUUUUAAGAGUUGUCUUGGUCAUGGUGUUUUGUUAUGGCAAUAGAAAAGUAAGUAAGACAAAUUGUUCAGUGAACCCUUGUUCCCAUUUUCUGUGUGCAUGUGAUCCCCAGACCUACUUCCUAGCACAGGUCGUGUUUAUUUAAAACAAACCAGCAAAAAAGGAUGGUAAGGUGGCUUGGUGCAAAGUGCUUGUUGCACAAGCAUGACUGACUUGAGUUCGGUAUCUGGAACCAAAGUAAAAAAAAGUCAUGUUUCGCUGGUGUGGUGAUGCAUGUUGCUGUCAAUCCCAGCACUCAGGAGGCAAAGGGCAUGUAGCUCUCUAUGAGUUCAAGACCAGCCUGGUCUACAUACUGAGUUCCAGGAUAGCCAGGGCUGCAUUGUGAGACCUUGGCCUCUCUCCCACAAACAGAUGUGCAUAUUUGAUGAUGCCCAUCUGUAAUCCCUGUACUCCUAUAGCAAGAUAGAGGGUGGUAGUUCACUCAAAGCUCUUAGUCCAGCAGAGACAAGAGACCCUGCUUUAUAAGGUAGAAGAACCAGCUCCAAAUCUUGUCCUCUGACCUAUGCAAGUGCAUGCACCCAUGUGAACUCUCUCUCUCUCUCUCUCUCUCUCUCUCUCUCUCUCACACACACACACACACACACACACAAAUAAUAAAUAAGUAGACCUUCAGACUUUAGAAUUUAAAACACCCUUUGGAUGUUGGUGUUACAUGUGACUCUGUACUGCUUUUAGAAUUACGUUAUGGACACGUCUUUCUUCCUCAGGUGGAGUCUAGGCUCAAGGAGGAUGAUAACUCAUCAUAGCACUCAUUAUCAUCACAUUGUACAGCAGCUGGGAUAGACGGCACAAGUCUUUGUGAUACCAGAGCUACCGUUCAUUCAGCAUUUCUUCUGUGCCUGGCACCAGGCUAAAUGGUUCACAUGGAUUCUCUUAUCUAAGAGGUGAACUCAUCGCAUGGGCGCUGGUGUUGUGUCCUGUUACUAUGAAUCUUUCCUCGAAAAGCCGCAGAGCCCCACCGCCACGUGUGCGCUUUAUGCCAGCCUCUCGCCCGAGUUAGGGCCCCAAUUAAUGCGCAGAGAGACUUGUAUUAGGUACAAUUCUGCUUGGCCAAUGACUAGGAUUCCUCAUCUGUUAGCUCAGUCUUAAUCAUCAUAAAUCUAUAUAUUUUAUAAGACUUAUCUUAUAGAGGAUGCCUUUCAAUGGUGCCCUCUCUUGCUGGUGGCUCACAUCCUGCUGCUGG